rnacentral:lncRNA from 1 species
CAGUUAUAUGCAUGAUUGGCUCAACUCAAGUUCAUAUGUGAAUUCCUAUAGAAACUCCUUUUCAGUAUUUACACUUGCUUUGAUCAAAAACUUUCUGAACUUAAUCUCGCAAAUCACAUAAGACUACUUUUUUCUACUAAAAUCGAUAGAUUCUAUCUAGAUACAUUCUAAUUCUAAUAGUGAACCUAAACUUAGUGUAGCCAAUAUACACCAUAAAGAUCUGAAUGGCUAGG